rnacentral:rRNA from 1 species
GCCAUGCCGCGUGAAGGAUGAAGGCCCUAUGGGUCGUAAACUUCUUUUAUACGGGAAAAAACUUUCGGUCGUGUAUCGGAAUUGAUGGUACCGUAAGAAUAAGGAUCGGCUAACUCCGUGCCAGCAGCCGCGGUAAUACGGAGGAUCCAAGCGUUAUCCGGAUUUAUUGGGUUUAAAGGGUGCGCAGGCGGAAUUGUAAGUCAGUGGUGAAAGCCUACAGCUUAACUGUAGAACUGCCAUUGAUACUGCUCUUCUUGAGUAUAUUUGAGGUGGGCGGAAUGUGUCAUGUAGCGGUGAAAUGCUUAGAUAUGACACAGAACACCAAUUGCGAAGGCAGCUCACUAAACUAUAACUGACGCUCAUGCACGAAAGCGUGGGGAUCAAACAGGAUUAGAUACCCUGGUAGUCCACGCCCUAAACUAUGAUAACUCGCUGUUGGCGAUACACUGUCAGCGGCUAAGCGAAAGCAUUAAGUUAUCCACCUGGGGAGUACGACCGCAAGGUUGAAACUCAAAGGAAUUGACGGGGGCCCGCACAAGCGGAGGAGCAUGUGGUUUAAUUCGAUGAUACGCGAGGAACCUUACCUAGACUUGAACGUAUUUUGACCUCCUAGGAAACUAGGAUUCUCUUCGGAGCAAUUUACGAGGUGCUGCAUGGCUGUCGUCAGCUCGUGCCGUGAGGUGUUUGGUUAAGUCCAGUAACGAGCGCAACCCUUAUCCUUAUUUGCCCUUCGGGGAUCUAUAAGGAAACUGCCUGCGUAAGCAGUGAGGAAGGUGGGGAUGACGUCAAGUCAGCACGGCCCUUACGUCUAGGGCUACACACGUGCUACAAUGGGCCAUUA